rnacentral:rRNA from 1 species
GAUGAACGCUGGCGGCGUGCCUAAUACAUGCAAGUCGAGCGAACAGACGAGGAGCUUGCUCCUCUGACGUUAGCGGCGGACGGGUGAGUAACACGUGGAUAACCUACCUAUAAGACUGGGAUAACUUCGGGAAACCGGAGCUAAUACCGGAUAAUAUAUUGAACCGCAUGGUUCAAUAGUGAAAGACGGUUUUGCUGUCACUUAUAGAUGGAUCCGCGCCGCAUUAGCUAGUUGGUAAGGUAACGGCUUACCAAGGCAACGAUGCGUAGCCGACCUGAGAGGGUGAUCGGCCACACUGGAACUGAGACACGGUCCAGACUCCUACGGGAGGCAGAAGUAGGGAAUCUUCCGAAAUGGGCGAAAGCCUGACGGAGCAACGCCGCGUGAGUGAUGAAGGUCUUCGGAUGGUAAAACGCUGUUAUUAGGGAAGAACAAAUGUGUAAGUAACUAUGCACGUCUUGACGGUACCUAAUCAGAAAGCCCCGGCUAACUACGU